rnacentral:rRNA from 1 species
AUACGGAGGGUGCAAGCGUUACUCGGAAUCACUGGGCGUAAAGCGCGCGCAGGCGGCCAUUUAAGUUGGAUGUGAAAGCCUACGGCUCAACCGUAGAACUGCAUCCAAAACUAUUUAGCUAGAGUGUGGGAGAGGAAGAUGGAAUUAGUUGUGUAGGGGUAAAAUCCGUAGAGAUAACUAGGAAUACCAAAAGCGAAGGCAAUCUUCUGGAACACUCCUGACGCUGAGGCGCGAAAGCGUGGGGAGCAAACGGGAUUAGAAACCCUAGUAGUCC